ACGCUAGCGGGAUGCCUUACACAUGCAAGUCGAACGGCAGCACGGACUUCGGUCUGGUGGCGAGUGGCGAACGGGUGAGUAAUGUAUCGGAACGUGCCCAGUAGCGGGGGAUAACUACGCGAAAGCGUAGCUAAUACCGCAUACGCCCUUCGGGGGAAAGCAGGGGAUCGUAAGACCUUGCACUAUUGGAGCGGCCGAUAUCGGAUUAGCUAGUUGGUGAGGUAAUGGCUCACCAAGGCCGCGAUCCGUAGCUGGUUUGAGAGGACGACCAGCCACACUGGGACUGAGACACGGCCCAGACUCCUACGGGAGGCAGCAGUGGGGAAUUUUGGACAAUGGGGGAAACCCUGAUCCAGCCCAUCCCGCGUGUGCGAUGAAGGCCUUCGGGUUGUAAAGCACUUUUGGCAGGAAAGAAACGGCGCGUGCUAAUACCAUGCGCAACUGACGGUACCUGCAGAAUAAGCACCGGCUAACUACGUGCCAGCAGCCGCGGUAAUACGUAGGGUGCAAGCGUUAAUCGGAAUUACUGGGCGUAAAGCGUGCGCAGGCGGUUCGGAAAGAAAGAUGUGAAAUCCCAGGGCUCAACCUUGGAACUGCAUUUUUAACUACCGGACUAGAGUAUGUCAGAGGGAGGUGGAAUUCCACGUGUAGCAGUGAAAUGCGUAGAUAUGUGGAGGAACACCGAUGGCGAAGGCAGCCUCCUGGGAUAAUACUGACGCUCAUGCACGAAAGCGUGGGGAGCAAAC
rnacentral:rRNA from 1 species